UACAGAGGUCUCAAGCGUUGUUCGGAUUCAUUGGGCGUAAAGGGUGUGUAGGUGGCGCGCUAAGUCGGGUGUGAAAUUUCGGAGCUUAACUCCGAAACUGCAUUUGAUACUGGCGUGCUUGAGGACUGGAGAGGAGACUGGAAUUCAUGGUGUAGCAGUGAAAUGCGUAGAGAUCAUGAGGAAGACCAGUGGCGAAGGCGGGUCUCUGGACAGUUCCUGACACUGAGACGAGAGCCAGGGGAGCAAACGGG
rnacentral:rRNA from 1 species